AGGACCAGCUGGAAUAAAUGAAAUCAGACAGAAUGAUUGUACAUUCAUGAGAUUAAAAGCUGAUGUACAUGCCUUUAGUAGCAAUAUUGUAGUUUAAAAUUCAUUAAAUAUAAACUACAUACAAGCAAACAGUAAAGAAAUCUGCAGUAAUAAUAACGGCAGCAUUCGCAAUUUUUCAGUGAGAUUCAUGAAUAUGUCUUUCAAUCCCCUUUAUUAUUAAAAGCUUUUCAACAUUUUGUUUCGGGUUGGAUUAGAAAUGCAGUGUGUUCUGUAUUUCAGUUCUAUGUAUAAUUAGGUGAUUUAUAAUAAUGAUGAACUUCUAAUAAUAGGAAUGCAACAUUUAACCCAACCGCUCACCUCUUCAAGACAUUUUCACCUUGAACAAGUCAGAAACACGUGUAUGAGUUGUAAGAUCCUGACUUGUUUUUGGGACAGCUUCUCUUGGGGCAUCUUUAAGGGGUGCUAACUGGGUCUGCCUGUGGGGGGCGCUGCAGUCCAAUAUGUCUGCCUAUAAGAUAAAUGGAUUAUAUUUUUCAAAAAUGUAAUUUAACAAUUCAAAUGUAUGUCACUUCAAAUACACUGAAAUCUCUGACACAUUUCCACUUCUGUCAUCUUCAGAUACAGAUGGCACAUUUUCAACUCCGCCUCCUUCGACGGCAAGUGGCGCACAUCCAACUCCGCCUCAUUCGAUAGCAAUUACCGGACAUCCAAAUCUGCCUCAUUCGACGGCAAGUGGCGCGCAUCCAACUGUGCCUCAUUCGACAGCAAUUACCGCACAUCGAAAUCUGCCUCAUUCAACAGCAAGUGGCGCACAUCCAACUGUGCCUCAUUCGACGGCAAUUUUCGUAACUCAAAUUCUGCCUCAUUCGACGGCAAGUGUCGCACAUCCAACUGUGCCUCAUUCGACGGCAAGUGUCGCACAUCCAACUGUGCCUCAUUCGACGGGAAUUACCGCACGUCGAACUCCGCCUCAUUCGACGGCAAGUGUCACACAUCCAACUCCAGGUGUAAGGGUGUUUGCCAACUUGAAUGUCAAGCUCCUGGCUCAAGUUACUAUGGGCAGGGGCAAAAUAGAGAACGCACUUUACACGGGUGCUGCUCAACUUCAGCAUUUCUUGCAAACGCAUUACAACGUCAGUGGUCUGUCCAUCACCAGGAUCGAGAGGGAGUCGCCUCCCCACCACCCCGACCACUACCCCCACCACUGAUUUAUAUCUGAUUACUUCCCAAGAUGAUUUCCUGCUCCUUACGGUAUGGUUUGCAGGAGCCCAUUUUUUGGACUUUAAUCGGCCAAAAUAAUAAAGGGAAUAAAUGAACAUAAUGAUGUAUGAUACUAAAAUAAUUAGCUUGCUACCUUCUUGUCUAGACACUUUAAACACAUAUUUCGGUCUUAUCCUGACUUAGCACUUAGCAUGUUUGCGGUUGCAGGUGGUCAUCCACUCUUUCCAGUGUUACUACUGUAUAACAUCAGUCUGUAUGCUGUUCAUUAAUGAAUCUCGAGCAUCUUGGCAUGACUGUGGAAAAGGACAUUAUAUGGAAAUAUACUGGUGUGAAUGAGAUGACUGACUACCAAUACUUGGGGACCCAAACACUUAAUUCUUGCUUUAAAAAUGGGAAGUAAUGCAGAGAAAAAAAUAAUGCAUUCAUCAUCACUGUAUUACAAGUAAGUUCAAUUAAGAUGUACAUGCAUAUUAAGAAAAAUGAGUGAAAAAAUUAAGAAUUUGAUUCACAUGGAAAGACAAAUUAAAA